CUUUGUGCUCCCGCAGCCCUAAGUAUAUGCCCUUGCAGUAGCCCUUACUACAGUAACUCUUAACAGCAAAGCAAGACAAAGCAAAGACGUUAGUCGAGCAUUUAAUUACUUGUACAAGAACUGGAAUGCAGUAGGUAUGCAAUACAUGUUUGUCAAAUAGUUUUAGAAAGUGCUAUGAUGAAGCGACAUAACCAAAGACAUAACGCAAUUAUUUUGAUUUCAAGUCCAGCGCUCUUCCGAGUAACUAGGAAAAAUGAGGGGAACUGUGUAGGCAGAAUGCUGUGGAGGGGUGGAAAUCUGAGGUCCCCAAGAGUCUCUAAGUGUCUCUUUAGAUCGAAUCGAAGGUCUUUUAAACAACAGAUAUACCAGAUAUAAUGCACAACUCUUUCUCCCCCCACCCCCAAUACAGUGGGACUAAUAACAGCAUCUACCUGACAAGAUAUUAUGAAGAUUAGGGCAAAUGCGUUAAUAAAUGCAAACUGCUUAAAAUAGUGCCUGGAAGUAUGUGCUGGCUAUCAUCAUCAUCAUCAUCGUCACCAUCACCACCACCAAACAAGCCUGGAACGCUCCAAGCCCAAGUGUACACUUGGACACAUGGCACUCUGGCAUUCCGAAAAAUACUCAUUUUCUUUGUAAACCUGGCAGACUAGCCAGAGGGUCCCCCCCCCGCCCCCACACACACACAGAAAGGGCCAGGCAGCCCCUGCUGGCGACGUGGCAACCUCACAUCCUGAAAGAGAGCUGCUGAAUCAAACAGCAGGAAAAGCACCACUGGAAAACCAACCGGAAGGGAGAUAUUGUAGACCGCUACUAGCUUCUCACUCGGACACUUACAAUGACAUCAGAAUGGGAGACCCAAACUGCCGCUUUAAUUCCUUCCAGGAGAUUUCCCAGGGAACAAAAUGGCCAUGAGUUUUGCUUGGCCUGUGCCCUAACCCCAGGCUGGACCUUUGGGGUUAGCAUCUGCCCAUGCGAACUGGGCGAGGAAGGUCUCCUGCCAGGGAGCAGCUCUCCCCGGCUCCGAGGAGAGCUCCCCAGCCAGGAGGCCACUUUCCCCUCCCUGCGGACACUUCCCCGAUCCCCCAAGCUCCUCAGGUCCCCUGCAACACUCCUCUCCCCAGAAGGACCCCGGCCGCCUGGUUCCAGGCAGGUCUGCACCUUGAAGUAGGCGACCUGCAGGUAGUUGUAGGGGCUCCGCUUGCGGAACUCCA
rnacentral:lncRNA from 10 species